GACGAACGCUGGCGGCGUGCUUAACACAUGCAAGUCGAACGGAAAGGCCCUGCUUUUGUGGGGUGCUCGAGUGGCGAACGGGUGAGUAACACGUGAGUAACCUGCCCUUGACUUUGGGAUAACUUCAGGAAACUGGGGCUCAUACCGGAUAGGAGCUCCUGCUGCAUGGUGGGGGUUGGAAAGUUUCGGCGGUUGGGGAUGGACUCGCGGCUUAUCAGCUUGUUGGUGGGGUAGUGGCUUACCAAGGCUUUGACGGGUAGCCGGCCUGAGAGGGUGACCGGCCACCUGAGGACUGAGAGAGGGCCCAGACUCCUACGGGAGGCAGUAGGGGGGAAUAUUGCACAAUGGGCGGAAGCCUGAUGCAGCAACGCCGCGUGCGGGAAGACGGCCUUCGGGUUGUAAACCGCUUUCGCCUGUGACGAAGCGUGAGUGACGGUAAUGGGUAAAGAAGCACCGGCUAACUACGUG
rnacentral:rRNA from 1 species